rnacentral:rRNA from 1 species
GCAUAUCAAUAAGCGGAGGAAAAGAAACCCAACCCGGGAUUGCCCCUAGUAACGGCGAAGCGAAGCGGCAAAAAGUCCAAAUUUGAAAUCUGGCGUCCUACGGGCGUUCCGAGUUGUAAUUUGAAGAUGGUAACUUUGGGUUUGGCUCUUGCAUAAGUUCCUUGGAACAGGACGUCAUAGAGGGUGAGAAUCCCGUUCAUGGUAAGAUGCCCAUUCCUUUGUAAAGUGCCUUCGAAGAGUCGAGUUGUUUGGGAAUGCAGCUCUAAGUGGGUGGUAAAUUCCAUCUAAGACUAAAUAUUGGCGAGAGACCGAUAGCGAACAAGUACAGUGAUGGAAAGAUGAAAAGAACUUUGAAAAGAGAGUGAAAAAGUACGUGAAAUUGUUGAAAGGGAAGGGCUUGAAGUCAGACUUGGUAUUCAGUGAUCAACUGUCUUUCGGGACUGUGCACUCGCUGUUUACUGGGCCAACAUCGGUUUUGGCGGCGAGAUAAAUGCAUUGGAACGUGGCUCUAUCUUCGGGUGGAGUGUUAUAGCCUUUGUAAAUAUCGCCAGCUGGGACCGAGGACUGCGCAUCUGCUAGGAUGUUGGCGUAAUGACUUUAAGCCACCCGUCUUGAAACACGGACCAAGGAGUCUAACGUCUAUGCGAGUGUUUGGGUGUAAAACCCGUACGCGUAAUGAAAGUGAACGUAGAUGAGAACCCCUGAGGGUGCAUCAUCGACCGAUCCUGAUGUUCUCGGAUGGAUUUGAGUAAGAGCAUAGCUGUUGGGACCCGAAAGAUGGUGAACUAUGCCUGAAUAGGGUGAAGCCAGAGGAAAACUCUGGUGGAGGCUCGUAGCGAUUCUGACGUGCAAAUCGAUCGUCAAAUUUGGGUAUAGGGGCGAAAGACUAAUCGAACCAUCUAGUAGCUGGUUCCUGCCGAA